rnacentral:lncRNA from 1 species
UUGGAUACUCCAGAGAGUAGACUUGGGUCCUGCAACUGAAGCUACAUUUAUGUGAAUUUUUAAUACUUUGUCUUUUUGCCUUUUCUUCUGCUGAAGAGCCACGUGGUACUUGGAGUUAUAGUAUCACUGAAGAAAUAGGAAAAUUAAAGGGUUUUCCCGGUAAGCCAGUGGGAGAGCAGAAUAUGUCUAUAAAUGGAAAUACUUUCUCCAAAAACCCUGGUAUUAAAGUUAUACCCAAUAUUAAUAUGUUUUAAAAACACAGAUCUCCCAAGUUGA